rnacentral:rRNA from 1 species
CAGUCGCCACGGUAAUACAGAGGGUGCGAGCGUUAAUCGGAUUUACUGGGCGUAAAGCGUGCGUAGGCGGCUUCUUAAGUCGGAUGUGAAAUCCCUGAGCUUAACUUAGGAAUUGCAUUCGAUACUGGGAAGCUAGAGUAUGGGAGAGGAUGGUAGAAUUCCAGGUGUAGCGGUGAAAUGCGUAGAGAUCUGGAGGAAUACCGAUGGCGAAGGCAGCCAUCUGGCCUAAUACUGACGCUGAGGUACGAAAGCAUGGGGAGCAAACAGGAUUAGAGACCCCCGUAGUCCCUGUCUCUUAUAA